UCCAAGUUGGGUUAUAAGAGUGUAAU
rnacentral:piRNA from 1 species